CCUACGGGCGGCAGCAGUGAGGAAUAUUGGUCAAUGGACGAGAGUCUGAACCCGCCAAGUAGCGUGAAGGAUGACUGCCCUAUGGGUUGUAAACUUCUUUUAUAUGGGAAUAAAAUGUUCCACGUGUGGGAUUUUGUAUGUACCAUAUGAAUAAGGAUCGGCUAACUCCGUGCCAGCAGCCGCGGUAAUACGGAGGAUCCGAGCGUUAGCCGGAUUUAUUGGGUUUAAAGGGAGCGUAGGUGGAUUGUUAAGUCAGUUGUGAAAGUUUGCGGCUCAACCGUAGAAUUGCAGUUGAAACUGGCAGGCUUGAGUACAGUAGAGGUGGGCGGAAUUCGUGGUGUAGCGGUGAAAUGCUUAGAUAUGACGAAGAACACCGAUUGCGAAGGCAGCUCACUGGACUGCAACUGACACUGAGGCUCGAAAGUGUGGGUAUCAAACAGGAUUAGAUACCCGGGUAGUC
rnacentral:rRNA from 1 species